UCUAGAGCAACUAAGAGAAGGAGAUCGAUAGACGAUCAUAUCGUGAAGGCUAAAUGGAGAAGAGAGAGAGUACAGCUUUGGGCGGUUUAGUUGUUAGAUGGUGGAAGUACUUGCGACGCCUACUACCCUUUUCACCAAGGCUGUACGCUCCCUCUUCUUCUCUUAGCUUUUUAUGAUCCACACACAUAUAUACAUGAACUCUCUCUCAGCCGGCUCAGCUGAUAAUUUAUUUUACUCUUGGUACCAUUUUCUAGGCUUCAACUAAAUGUGUAUGUGUUAAGAGCAAGUCUAAUAAAAGCGCUCGCUGCUGGCUCCAAUCCUUCUCACGUCAGGUAAAUAUAAUAUAAAAGCAAGUACAUACAGUAGGUAGGCUCUAAUACAUUUACCCAUCUCUCCAUAUAAAUAAUGUUUUAUUCUUUAUUUACUUUAUCUUCUCUUUCCUUUCAUUUCUAUCUCACUUUUGGAUGGUGCAGAGAUCAAAUGGUGAGACUAUUUUUUCUUAGAGUGCGUGUGGCACUAGUGGCAAAUUAGUCAGCAACUGAUGGUCUCUCUCCUCUCUUUUUUCGCCAACUCAGCGUUCAUGCUUACGUGGAGUUUUUUCUUCCAGCUAUCUGAACCCUAUUGUACCUGCUCUAACUUGAUAGGCUAUAACGCUAUAAAUAGUCUUUGUGGGAUAAAUUUUUAAUAGUACAAAUGAAGCUGCAACAUAGGUAUAUUGAAUCCGUUGCUUUUUAAUUAGGAAAUGGGUGUGGAAUUUCCAGCCGAACAUUAUUACAGGAAAAACGCUUUGUAGAGACAUUUUUCUAAUACUAUAGAGACACUUUUAAAAUGCCUUUACAAUACUAUAGAGAUAUAUUAAAAAAAUAUCUAAUAAUUGCCUUACGGUGAAUUAUCUGUACAAACGAAGAGGCAUUUUAUAAAAUGUCUAUAAGAUGGUAGAGGCAUUUUCUAGAUACAUUAAAUUGUACCACAAUAAUAUGAAAUUAAUGAAAAAAUAAAAUAAAAUAAAAUAUUUUCUCUUGUUUUUGCAAUCCUUGAACUCAUGAUCAAUUGCACAAAUCAUACUUAUCUUCAAGGCACUAACCAACUCAAUCCCAAGUCAUCACUUAUAUGUAUUUGUCUUCAGUUACUUAUAUUUAGUCAUUUAGUAUAUAUUUUUAUUCUAAGAAGUCUCUUUACAGAGUUUAAAGUGUCUCAAUGGUUGAUAACGAGAAGAAAACGAUAAAAUUACUAUUGAAGAGGUCUAUAAAACUAAACUCUAGGGACAAAUCUUUAGUCCAAAGACUACACAGGACACACGGAGUAACUAGUUAACUGAUUAUAUGCAAUAUCGUUUAGAAAGGGAAGUGUCUAAGAUGGAAAAUUCAAGGCAGGAUGGCCACUUUGCAAAUUGAAAUGUUCCUUCCAGCUGUUAUGUUCAGGGGUGGAUCCAACGUGGUGCAGGGGGACUUAGGUUCCCCUACACCCACAAGACCCAUGGAUAUAUACCCGCAGAGCGCCCCCUCUAAUUUUUUCACCAUGAAUGAUAAACUAAAGCUUCCUAAAUGGCUGGAGGUUGAAGAAACUGUAUAAUUGAGUCCCUUAAUUUUUUGUUCCUAGAUCCGCCUCUGGUUUACGUUGACAGUAAGAAAGAGAGGUUUACCUACUUUUUGUCGUAUAACCCAAAACUAUAGGAGCAAUUAAUAUGCUAAGUCAAUGGUUAGGGCUAUCAGCGAGCCGAGCUUGCUCGUCUGGGCUCAAGCUCGACAAAGCUCGAGCCGAGCUUAAUUCUCUUUUGAGCUUUUAAGCAGGCUCGGCUCGAGCUCGUUUAGGCUCGCGAGCUCGAUCGAUUAUAGGAUAAUGUAUAUUUUGUUGAUAAGAUUUAGUAAAAAAAAUUUAAUCAAUAAUAUUGAAGAUAAAGUUAUAUAUGAUGCCAAAAUACACUAAUUUUUCACAUGAAUAUAUACUAAUUUGUCCUUGAGCUACUAACUUAUCAUAUAAAAGAUAAAAAAUUUACACACAUAGUUAGACUCAUAAGAAUCUCGAGCUUGGCUUGACAAAACUCGUGAGCUUGCAGCUAGGCUUUGGUUCGGCUUGUUAAGAGUUCGAGCCGAGCUCGAAUCGAGUCUGAGGUGACUCACGAGCCUCGAGCUUUUUUUGAUAGCCCUACGGGUGAUAGUUAGCAAUUCAAAACGAGUCACGUCGCACGCAUAAGCUCUUACACAUGCUCCUGCUCCCACCCAUGCAGUGACGCUUAGGAUCUGUUUGAGAAAGUUUUUGGCAGGUGCAACUUCUCUUAUAAUCAUAAGCUCUCUAAACAGUUGACAUUUUCGUUUAGAUCCUAAAAAGCUAUAGCUGUUGAAUCCAAAAAAGAAUAAAGUCGGAAGCUGGGAACCCCGACUUUUCUAUAUUCUAAAAACUGAUUACCAACCAGCAGCUUUUUAGAAUCUUAAUCUCUUCUAAACAAUACCCUUACAUACUACAGUUACAUUGUUAUAGCAUUAACCUUAUAUAUGUGAGUGGCCAUGCAGAGCCCAGGUAGCAUCACUACAAAGUAAGAAAUCGACUGAUCCGGCCAGCCAUGCAUGGCAGCGGCAGCCGGCUUCUCGGGGACGGCGGCAGUGGCGGUGCCUCACGUCACGUGAAGCUGGGCUCGCAGGGGCCGGAUAUCUCAACGCAGUGGGCCUGGGCUGCAUGGGCAUGUCCGCUUUCUACGGCCCGUCCAAUGCCGGAGGCCGACAUGGUGGAUUAGAAAAAAAAUAAUUCUCUUUUUCUGAGUAAUUCUCUGUUCCAAAUAUUCGUUGGAAGUAGAUAGACACGUUCUAAAAUCUUAAUGCAUGGGCGUAUGUCAUCUUGAUUAAAAAAAAAACAAACUUUUUCGCCACUCCAACAAAGGCGGGAGCAUAGAUAUGGGAGAGCUAGUGAUGUUUUAACUAACAUCGAGGUUUGUUGGUGUGUUGAUGUUUUUGCAAUCAGUGGCAGAGUUUCCGUCGAUGCCGCGGUGGCCGCCGCCGCAGAUCGCCGGUGAUGGCCGGGAAACCCAACAGCAAACAGUUGUCGCUGCAGGAUGGCGUGAUGAUCUCCAACGACGACGGCCCAAGAAGCUUAAUUGGGAAUCCGGAAAGUUUUGCGUUGAGAAUGAACACCUCAAGGGCUCGCCAACCACUUCCACUAGCUGCUGCCUCUUCCUCCCUCUUCUCGACCGUCUCUAUCACUCGUUUCAAGAGUGAGGGUACUCCGCAGUACUGCUCACUGACAUGUACCAGUCCCACAUGAUAUGUGCCAGAUGAUCUGGAUUGCUCGUUUCAAAUACGAGCAGCGAAGUUUGUAGAUUUUGUUGAAUUGGAGUAAUUGAAUUGGAUUGAACAGCAGUGUUUUGAUUAGAAUCAGUUUUACAUACACAAUGAAAUAACUGACACAAGAAAUAUUUUUUUUUUCAAAA